AUGCUUCCAAAUUAAGUUUGCCCUCUGCCGUUUGCAGGUGCUCCUUACCCCAGUAUGGGUCUCAAUGCGGAGGAAUCUGUUGCAGAUACUGGGUUUCAAGAUCAGGAAGCCCCAAAGAGCUUUGAAGAUUCAUCAGAUGAAGGAGAUUCUGGAAGCAGGUUUCAAAAUAAGGAAACCCCAAAGAGCUUUGAAGAUUCAUCAGAUGCAGGGGAUUCUGGAAGCCUGAGUUCCUGGUUUGCGUCUCUGCUUGAGACUAUGAAGCUUUCACUGGCUGAGAUUGUGGGCAACAUCUUUGGACGACCAGCUGCUGAUGUUAAGUCAUCUCCAGAUUCCAAUGAAAAACCGGAAGGACAGGUCAUGAAUAUGGGCCUUGGAGCAUCCUUAACAGGACUGGCAGUGAUGGUUAUCAUGGUGGUUGUGAUGAAACGUUAAUUUGUCGAAUUUACGAACCCUAUCCUAUAUGUGUAUUUGGUUUAUUAGGAUGCCAAUAUGAAUAAUUAGGUCCAUAUCUUAUAUACAUCGCAGUAAUGAAUUAGUAGUCAAAAGACUCUUUUGACUAAGUUUUUAUGUACAGCGGAUUUGAAGUCUGUUGGUGUUGGGC
rnacentral:lncRNA from 1 species